rfam:Schistosoma margrebowiei strain Zambia genome assembly, scaffold: SMRZ_contig0000167
UUUUACUUGACGAGUCCCAAACAGAACGAAACACGCGUCCUGAAU